GCGCACCUGUUUAAAAAUAUAAAUGUUUUAUUAUUAAAACAUUUUUUUAGUAUACCUGUCCACGUCAGUAUUUUAAAAAUAUUAUAUUUUCAUGCUUUUAGUGAAGAAUUGUUUUACUAUCAGUUAUAUUUUUAAACAGGCAGUUUCGAAAUAACCAAAGAAAACAACGAUUUUAAACCGGAACCUGCCUGAAGGAAUCAACGCAUUCUACAAAAUGUCCACACGAGGGCAGCAUUGGAUAGGAAAUGAAAGCUAAGCCUUAUUUGUCUUCCUGAAGUUCGCUACCAAUUGUGAACAGCAGAGGACAGCUCAGCCGGAGGCGUGUGUCUGUGUGAAACGACUAUAUUUCAUGUGAUAAGUUUGUGCAAGAUGGAAGUCAAGUUAGGAGGCGUUUGCUGUCGUUUUACACAGACUACGAUGGACAGAGCUCGUUAAACCAGGGCUGUGAGGAUGAGAAGGUCUCCAAGGUCUGGAGUCUGGUCUCUGACAGGCUCAACAUACCUGUCAAUCAACAGGGACUCCUCUACAAAGGCAAGGUGCUGGCAGAUGAGCACAGACUGUCGCACGACUCCAUCGCUCCCGAUUCCAAGCUGAACUCGUUGUGACGCCCCCGACAGAGAAAGUGUCACCCGAGCAAGAACAGCACUCCCUGUGUCACCCCUCCUCUCACCCCUCGCCUCACCCCUCCUCUCA